rnacentral:rRNA from 1 species
UUGUGGAAAGUCAAGGUUCCAGCUAAAAUUAAGGUCUUCCUAUGGCUAGUCAGUAGGAAGAGCAUACUUACUAGAGACUCCCUCCUAAAGAGAUGAUGGAAAGGAGAAAAGAAUUGUGUGUUUUGUAGAAAAAAUGAAUCGGUAGAUCACUUCUUUUUUACAUGUUCGGCUGCAUCUGUGAUAUGGAGCUUGGUUAAAUGCUCAUUUGGGUUGGAAAAAACUCGUACAUCAAUUCAGGAAUGCUUGGGGGCGGUUGCUAAUAAAUUUAGGAGAAAUGAUAAGAAACUGGUUCUAGUGGGUAUCUCUGCCUUAUUUUGGGCUGUGUGGAAAUGUAGGAACGGAAUAAUCUUUGAUAAUAAGAGAACUACCGAUCCUAUGAGUCUGAUCAAACUAAUGAGCCAUUAG